GAGGUCCAACUGGCCACUCACUUCCAGCUGAGAGACUGAGGGAAGAUGCAGAUAGCUUAGGCUUGGAAGAAGCCUGUCUCUUUGGAGAUCAACUGCCUCUUUCUAAACCCAUGGAUACCUCUCAUUCAACUCUCAAUAACAGCAUCAAAGCCAUUGGUGGAUUUUGUGGACUGGGAUUUUGAAGAGAGUCAUCCACAGAGAUCCUUUUGAAGGAUCUUUCUCUCUAUCUCUCUCUCCCUUACCUGUCCUUGGACUCCUGAAUUCAACCCCAAGGCACUGUCCAUCAGAAGCUCCUGAAAGAGAUAAAGGGGAAAGGUAUUGACUUGUGAUUUCUUUGGUAUGGAGAUCUAGUAUGUAAAUUGCCUCCACUGAUGCAGAAGAGGAAUUUGUAACUUGCUUCUUAAAAUAAUUACCUAAAACACCAAGAGGAUGAGAUUUGCCUAUAGACACCUAAAUCAUAUUUAUUAAAGUCAUGAUCCUUUGAGGUCCCACCUGUGUCUAAGAUUAAAGCAAGAAACUGAGGAUGAAGAAAACUUGUUACUUAACAAAAUUGUUUGCCUCAAAGUGAAAGUGGUAAAAUAGUUCAAAUUCUUUAUUAAUCAUUGUUUCUAGAGACAUUUGAAGGUUAUUGCUUACUUUGAUAAUUAUCAUUAUGUUUUGAAAUUUAUUAGUGUGGAGAAAUAAGGAUGGGGCAAGUGUAUAUAUGGUGUUUCAAAUGGGGAACAAUUAAUAGGAUUGGGCAAAAUGUGUAAAAAUCAGGGUCAUAUUUUCCUGUCGUGUUCUGGCCACUCAUCAGCUGUCAGUUACACUCUUACACACCACCAAUUUAUUUUCCCCUUUGUUCCAACUCAUGGCAGCU